UACGGGGGGGGCAAGCGUUGUUCGGAAUUACUGGGCGUAAAGGGCUCGUAGGCGGCCAACUAAGUCAUACGUGAAAUCCCUCGGCUUAACCGGGGAACUGCGUCUGAUACUGGAUGGCUUGAGUUCGGGAGAGGGAUGCGGAAUUCCAGGUGUAGCGGUGAAAUGCGUAGAUAUCUGGAGGAACACCGGUGGCGAAGGCGGCAUCCUGGACCGAUACUGACGCUGAUGCGCGAAAGCCAGGGGAGCGAACGGG
rnacentral:rRNA from 1 species